CUGCAGUGAUGUUUUCUUAGGACACCUUUGGAUUAAUCAUGAAAAUAAUAAGAUUUCUGAGCAGC